rnacentral:rRNA from 1 species
CCGGAGCUUGCUCCGGGUGCCUAGUGGCAAACGGGUGAGUAAUGCAUAGGAAUCUGCCUUAUAGUGGGGGACAACAGUUGGAAACGACUGCUAAUACCGCAUACUACCAUUUAUGGGAAAGUCGCAAGACGCUAUCUGAUGAGCCUAUGUCUGAUUAGUUUGUUGGUGGGGUAAUGGCCUACCAAGACUACGAUCAGUAGCCGGUCUGAGAGGACGAUCGGCCACACUGGAACUGAGACACGGUCCAGACUCC